rnacentral:rRNA from 1 species
GACAAUACAAAGGGCAGCGAAACCGCGAGGUCAAGCAAAUCCCAUAAAGUUGUUCUCAGUUCGGAUUGUAGUCUGCAACUCGACUACAUGAAGCUGGAAUCGCUAGUAAUCGUAGAUCAGCAUGCUACGGUGAAUACGUUCCCGGGUCUUGUACACACCGCCCGUCACACCACGAGAGUUUGUAACACCCGAAGCCGGUGGAGUAACCUUUUAGGAGCUAGCCGUCGAAGGUGGGACAAAUGAUUGGGGUGAAGUCGUAACAAGGUAGCCGUAUCGGAAGGUGCGGCUGGAUCACCUCCUUU